rnacentral:rRNA from 1 species
GGAAUUUUGGACAAUGGGCGCAAGCCUGAUCCAGCCAUGCCGCGUGAGUGAAGAAGGCCUUCGGGUUGUAACGCUCUUUCGCAAGGAAAGAACACUUAUCUACUAAUACUAGGUGAGGUUGAAGGUACCUUGAUAAGAAGCACCGGCUAACUACGUUCCAGCAGCCGCGGUAAUACGUAGGGUGCGAGCGUUAAGCGGAAUUACUGGGCGUAAAGCGUGCGCAGGCGGUUUUGUAAGUCAGAUGUGAAAUCCCCGGGCUCAACCUGGGAACUGCGUUUGAAACUACAAGGCUAGAGUGUAGAAGAGGGGGGUAGAAUUCCACGUGUAGCAGUGAAAUGCGUAGAGAUGUGGAGGAAUACCGAUGGCGAAGGCAGCCCCCUGGGCUAACACUGACGCUCAUGCACGAAAGCGUGGGGAGCAA